rnacentral:lncRNA from 1 species
UUCUCCUCUCUCUCUAUCUUCUUAGCUUUACUACCUUCUUUUUUUUCCUACCAAGAUCCUCCCAUGGAGGAACGAAUGAGAACAACAUUGAUUCCAAGACGAAGACAUAUCUGAAAAAGUAAACACACAAAACCAAACCAAUACAAAACAAAACAGACAAAAAGAGUUAACCAAAAAAUGUCGGUAGCACACGCAGAUGACGCCGACGAUUACAGCCGACCAACGGGAGAAACCUACCACGCCGAGAAAGCGUUACCAAGCGGAGACUUCUACACGGGCCAAUGGAGAGACAGUCUCCCUCACGGACACGGCAAAUAUCUCUGGACCGACGGUUGUAUGUACGUCGGAGAAUGGCACCGCGGCAAAACCAUGGGCAAAGGCCGUUUCAGCUGGCCAAGCGGCGCGACCUACGAGGGCGAUUUCAAGAACGGCUACAUGGACGGCAAAGGCACUUACAUCGACUCGUCCGGAGACUUGUACAGAGGAUCGUGGGUGAUGAACCUACGACACGGCCAAGGCACCAAAAGCUAUGUCAACGGAGACUGCUACGACGGAGAGUGGAGGAGAGGCUUGCAAGACGGGCACGGGAGGUACCAGUGGAAGAACGAGAAUCAUUACAUCGGCCAGUGGAAGAACGGGACGAUGAACGGUAACGGGACGAUGAUAUGGAGCAACGGGAACCGUUACGACGGGUCUUGGGAAGACUCUGCUCCUAAAGGAAACGGUACGUUCCGCUGGUCGGACGGGAGUUUCUACGUCGGGGUUUGGAGUAAAGAUCCUGAAGAACAGAACGGGACUUAUUACCCGACCACAGCUUCAGGGAACUUCGAGUGGCAACCGCAGCAAGUGUUCUGCGUUGAUUUGAGCGAGUGUGUGGUUUGUACUUGUCAGAGAAUCCCGGUUUUGCCGUCCCAGAAGAUGCCGGUUUGGUACGGUUCGUCCGAGAGUAGUAGCGGGAACAAGACUAAGAGUAGUGGCAGCAGCGAGAGGCCGAGGAGGAGAUCUGUUGACGGAAGGGUUAGUAAUGGUGAGAUGGAGUUGAGGAACAAUGGUUCUGGUUAUCUUCAGGUAGAUGAUACGGAGAGUAAUAGAUCAUCACCGUUAAGGCCUUUGAGAAUACAGCCUGCUAAGAAACAAGGUCAAACUAUCUCUAAAGGACAUAAGAACUAUGACCUCAUGCUUAACUUGCAGCUUGGGAUUAGGUAAGUGUGUUUGUGAUUGAAACUGCUUGUGUGUGUUUUUUCUUUGAUGUUUUUGAUUCAUUGUUGUGUUUUUUUUUGUAAGACAUUCUGUUGGAAGACCAGCUCCGGCUACUUCUCUUGAUUUGAAGGCUUCGGCGUUUGAUCCAAAGGAAAAACUUUGGACUAAGUUUCCAUCUGAGGGAUCUAAGUACACUCCUCCACACCAGUCUGUUGAGUUCAAAUGGAAGGACUAUUGUCCUGUGGUUUUCAGGUUAGAAUAUGCUCUCUUUUUUUUCGUCAACUACCCAGAGCCGAUUCUCCGAAGAGCACCUCUGUCUGUCUUCUUUUGAUUUUUUUCUCUUGUGUUGGUACUUAAGAAAACUUAUGAAAUUUCUAUAUAGGACUCUGCGGAAAUUGUUUAAUGUGGAUGCAGCAGACUAUAUGUUAUCGAUAUGUGGCAAUGAUGCUCUUAGGGAGCUAUCAUCUCCAGGGAAGAGUGGAAGUUUUUUCUACUUGACCAAUGAUGAUGGCUACAUGAUCAAGACCAUGAAGAAGGCAGAAACAAAGGUAAGUAUCAGAGUAAACUUAAAAGCUGUUUAUCAAGAAACAUUCAUUUGUGUUUACUUGAAACAGGUUCUUAUAAGGAUGCUUCCAGCUUACUACAAUCAUGUAAGGGCAUGUGAAAACACUCUAGUUACCAAGUUCUUUGGUCUUCACUGCGUGAAAUUGACUGGCACUGCACAGAAGAAGGUCAACUACCAUUUUUGUAAUUCGUCUAUGUGUGUUCUUGUUAUUAGCAUUUUCAGUUUUGGAUGUAGUGAUGGAAGAAUACUUGCCCAUGCAGGUUAGGUUUGUGAUAAUGGGGAAUCUCUUCUGUACUGGUCACUCCAUACAUAGGCGGUUCGACCUCAAAGGAUCAUCUCAUGGCCGUCUUACCACUAAACCAGAGUCUGAAAUAGAUCCAAACACAACGCUCAAAGAUCUUGAUCUAAAUUUCAUAUUCCGUUUGCAGAAGAACUGGUUUCAAGAAUUCUGCAGGUGAUUUGAUUCAUUACAUGUAAUAACACUCUUGCUUCUUCUUUCAUUAGUCACCUAAUUUCUAGCAUUUUUGUUGAUAGGCAAGUGGACAAAGACUGUGAGUUCCUUGAACAAGAGAGGAUCAUGGACUAUAGUCUCUUGGUUGGUCUUCACUUUCGGGAAGCAUCCAAGGACUCUGCCACUCCUACUUCCGGUGCUAGAACCCCUACCGGUAAAAUUCUAUCUCAACUUUCAAAUUUUGGACCAUCUCUAAUCCAUCUCUAUAUUUUUCCUAGAAUAGAUUAACUGUUUUUGAGGUUGGUUUUGCUCAAAUUAAUAUCUCUAUAGAGAAAAUGUUAUUUUUGAAAGGUAAAAAUAACGAAAAUAUAAUAAAUGUUAGUUUAUCUCUAUAUUUAGAGGAAUAAAUAACAUUCUUUUGUUGAUAAAAAAAAGAUAAUAACAUUAUUUUAUAGUUUCUCUGAAUAGUAUAUAACUCUGUUAUACAACAUACAUUAGAGCAAAACCAAAUUCUAUAAUAAAAUUUUAUUUUAGAGAAAGAAUAUAAAAGUGGAUAGAAAAUGCUCUAAAGCUUAUUUGUUUAAGGCAAUUUUCUCUUGUUUGAGCAGGAAACCCUGAUAGUGGAAACCCUCGUCUCUCCCGAGCAGACAUGGACCGAUUUCUUCUUGAUGCCAGCAAGUAAAAACCACAAACUUAAUGGUUAUACCCACAGUUUAAGUGAAACUGCAAAUGGUGUUUUAUAACACAAGGGUGGUUUCUUGGAUGAUUCUUUUUCAGGUUAGCACCAAUAAAACUGGGUAUAAACAUGCCUGCAAGAGUUGAAAGGACAAUGAGAAGAAGUGACUGUGAGAAUCAGCUUGUUGGGGAACCAACUGGCGAAUUUUACGAUGUGAUUCUCUACUUUGGUGUUAUAGACAUUCUACAAGACUAUGAUAUAAGCAAAAAGCUUGAACAUGCAUACAAAUCAAUGCAGUAUGAUCCAACUUCGAUCUCAGCUGUUGAUCCAAAGCAAUAUUCUCGACGUUUCAAGGAUUUUAUCUUCAAGAUCUUCGCAGAGGACACUUGAGACCAAGCCAUCUAAUUAACUUGCACAUGCCCAACGCCCAACAAAGUUGAGGUUUUUCUUUUUGUUAGAAAUUCUUGUUUAUUUUUCUUUAUAGAAAUAUCUGUAAAUUUUAUUAUUUAACCAAAAUCCAUUGUAAUAGGGGAAAAUGAUUCUUUUUGUAACUAAAUUAAGUUCAAUACUCUGCCUUUUCUUUUUCUUUUUGAUACUCUUUGUAUUGUGUUUCUUUAUACGUGAAAGAAAGGAUGUGUACAGAUGUUGACAUGUAUUUCUUAUUAACUUAUCCCAUCCAAGUUUACAAUUCAUUUUUAUAGAAAAUGUUUCUAUCUUUUUCAGAUUAUUAUUUUUAAUUAGACGUGGUUAUUUAUGGUUUUCAAAUUGAUUUUUAAUAGUGAGAACAAGUUGACUAUAUGAGGUUUCUGAAUUCUGAUGAUGCACACACUCGACAGGCCAACCUCAAAGUCAAUGCUAAUGGUUUUCAAUUUUUCAAAGUAAUUAGUUUACAUAUGAUUUUAUACGUUUUGUUUAUUUAUUUAUUUAUUUAUUUCUUUAUUUACAUAGGACUUUACAAUUGUAUGUCAGUAUGAAACAAUCACGUCAGGAAAUAAGUUAAAAACAUCUGUUUAAUAGGUUGGUCCUAAGUUUGAGUCCAUGUAGAAACUAAGUUAUUACGAUUUAACUAGAUGAAGAAAGAGUCAUGUCUUAAGGCUUCAGUCAAAUAAUAAUAAAAAGAGUCAUGUCUUAGCCAUUGUUAAAAAACACUAAGAGGUUGAUUGUUUGUAGUUUUUAAAAUAGUUUUUGGUUUUGAAAAACUAUUUUAUUUUCCAAUGAAAAUUUUGCUAAAAAUGAUUUUUUUUUAAACUAGAAAAAUUAGUUUUUCAAAUAACUACCUAAUUUCACACAAAAACCAAAAUCUGUGUUUUUUUAGAUUUCUGGCAGUUUCCUACGAUGAUUUUUUUAUUAUGUUUUCUUAUUUAUCAUAUUAAUUUUAAUGGUCUUUUUUUCAUUUUUUUUGUAACUGAUCUUUCUUUUCAUUAUUUGUCUCAUUCUUAUGCCUCAUUGCCACUCUCAUAUGUUCACUUCACCAUCACAUCAUCAAUACAUUUUUUGUACUUUAUUAAUAUAAAAGAAGUGAUUAUAUAUACAACUAGAGCAAUUGUUUUCGAGUUUUUCACCUCAGCACUCAAAAAAUAUUUUAUCAUACUUGUAAAUUAGAAGAAGUUCUCUUACUUGUAAACUAAAAGAAGUUCAAAAAUUUUCAAAAGGAAAUUUUAUUUUAAAAGUCACAAUUUUUAUUAAUUUCUAUAGAAAUUAUUUAUACAAAAAUAACCAUAGAAAUAUAUGUGUAAAAAUUAUUUUAGAAAAAAUCAUCCAAGGUAUGAUACUUUUUUUAAUGCUUAAUUACUUGUAUAAGUAGCAUUUGAAAUCAAAUAUAAAAGGCAUUCGAGAUCAAAUUAAUAUAUAUAUAUAUAUAUAUAUUUAUUUAUAUUUAUAUAGAAUUUACGAUAGUUUUAUUUUGUAUUUAUAUUUUGUUUUAAAUAAGUUUUGUAAAUAAAUUUAUGUGUAUUUUAAUGACAGAGUGAUGGCUCAAGGUCAAAAGAUGGAGGGGAGUACAAAAAACACCUAAAAUACAAUUUUGACGCCAUUAAUCUUAAAAUCAACAAAUGCCUAAAGACAAAGUUAUUGAAAUUCCAUAUGUUUUAUAUCAUAAACUCACUUCACCACUAACAAGUAGUAUUAUACAUACAACAACACAUUAUUAAAGAAACAAAUAUAUAAUAUAUUAACUUAUUGCCUACUACUACAUAACAUAAUAAAACAUCAAAUAAUGCUCUUCGCAAAUAAAUACUAAUCACAUAAUCACAUCAUCAGAAAAUCAUAUUAAGAACAAUAAAAUAAUAUUUCGCGCGAAGCGCGGACAACCUCUAGUAGAUUAUAAGAAGCACAUGGAGUUUUGAGACACACUGGUUUCACUUUCUGAUUUCCGAGAGGCGCCGUCGUUCGUAACUGGAGACUUUAACGAUCUUACUUGCAACUCGGAAAAAACAUGACGACUAGAGCGCUCAGAAGGAUAAACUAUAGUUUUGUUUAAUAGAUAUUCAACUUUUAUACAUUAUAAUAGUUUUAUUUAAUAAAAAUCAAUAUCAUAUUUUACUAAUUAAUAAAUAUUUUUUCUAUUUCUAAAUUAAAUAAAACUAAUCUCUAUUUAUAGAGAAUCUAAAAUAAUACAUUUUCGUAUAAGAAAUAAAAAUAAAUAAUUUAAUUUAUAAAUUAUUGGUUUUAAAUAAUUAAGAAGAUAUAAAAAUAUCAAAAUAUCCAAAAAUGAUAUGUGGCGUCAAUGGUCUCCAUUUUUUCUUAUUCAGCAUGUUGAAUAAUUUCAACAUCAAAUUUCAUUUUUUUUAACAAGUUCAUAGUUAUCCAACUGUUAAAUAUUUUAUUAAGCAUCUCCAUUGUGGAUAGAUUUUUGAAAAUAGCUUCUACUCAAUUUUGAUCCAACAUCCCCAUUGAUUAGCAUCUAAUCAGCGGUUAAAUCUUUGCCAAAGUCAAUAGUCUUAUUUUCCUUUUCUUUUGGAUCAGACCAAAGUCAGUAGUCUUUAGUCUUUACUUUCUUUGUUUAGAGCAGCUCCAUAUUUGGCAUGAGAUUCUCAAAAGUGAUUAGAUACUAAUUUAAUGUUUAAAUAAUAAAUGGAGUUUUUAAAUUUUAAAUAUUCGUUCAAUAGUUUUUCAUUUGAUAAUUUAUUGGAUAUGUACAGUAAAAAAUCUAUAAAUUAAUAAUGUUGAUUUUUGAAAAUUAUUAAUUUAUAGAGUUAUUAAUUUAUAAUAAGAUUCCUUUUUAGAUUUCUAUAUUUUAGAAUAGAAUUUUUGUAAAAUAAAAAAAUAGUUGGUUUCAUUGUUUAUAUAUUCAUUAAAUUUGAAAAUUUUAACUUUCAUAUUUCUUUAUUAUAUUAUUUGAUGUAUAUAAGAUAUGUAUCAUAUAGUUUUUCCCCCCAUCACUACCAUUUUCCCCCAAUUCAAUGGUAUCCCACUCUUUUGAGUAUAUUGAGCUAAUUUGCUCUAGAUAUAAUUUUAUUAAGAACAAUCAAAGUGUUAUGAAAUCUCAAGAAAAAAGUAGAAAUAGACUAUAUUGUAAAUAUAAAACAAACAAUACAAUGUAUUACUUUUACUUAUAUAAAUUGUAUAUAUAAAAAUUAUUAAUUUUGAUUUUUAGUGAGACUAUAUAUUUGCAUGGGGUUUUCUAAAUUAUUAUUAUCUUAUUAUAUCUUAUAGAUUUUUGUCAUAUUUUAAACCGGUCCAACUUGGGACGACUAGAGUUUAUUAAUUUAUGGAGUAUUGUAUCUAAAAUUUUGAGAAUUUCAUCAUUCACUUUAACAUUAAUUAGUAAUCUAAUCACCUUUUGAAAACUUCAUCUUCCAUUUUCAGAUUUUUAUUUAUAUAUUUACUCAUAUAAAACCUUUAAAUUAUUUUCUUUCGUUACUUUUAUGAAAAUGUUAAUAUAUUAAAUAAACGUCAUCGUACUAAAAUUUUGGAAACGAUUUGAGUAAUAAACUUGAGGAAUUAUAACGAAUAUUUGAUGAUAAAAAUGAAUUAUAACGAAUAUUUUCUUCCAAAUCUGUUUCAGUCAGUACCUCUCUUUCUCUCCCAUCUAUAUAAAUAUAUAUGCAUUUUUGCAUUCUCUAUGACACCUCACUCAUUUCAUUCCUAAUCAUUCUCUCUAUACGUCAAACCCAAUCUUAAUCUAACUUUUGAGAGACAAUCUACCAAAAAUGUAUCAAAAGACCAUAAUCUUCUUAACAAUACUCUUAACGUCUCUUCGCUCUUGUUCUAGCAGCUACCCGUUUGAUCCUAGAUAUGAACAUUCCAUAUCUCCCAAUGUUUAUUAUGAAACCAAUCACCAACACGGUCACAUUACACACAACAGGCACAUGAAAGAUCCCCAUGCCGCUCCUAGAUCUUCUCCUCGAGCUUUUAACGUCAACUCUUUCGGGGCUAAAGCCAAUGGAAACGACGAUUCUCAGGUAUCCCUGUAAAUUAUUUCUAUAGCAAUAUAUAAUCAAAAUCUUGUACAUUCAAUGUAAAUGAAAUAUUAUGUUUUGAGUCAUAGGCAUUCAUGAAAGCUUGGGAAGCAGCUUGUUCGUCAAAGGGAACAGCUUACAUCGUUGUUCCGGAAAAUAGAGCUUACACUCUUAAACCGGUUAAAUUCUCCGGUCCAUGUAAAUCAUCCAUGAUUGUUUUUAAGGUAUGAUAUAAACCAAUGCACGUAGGCUCAGUUAUUAUUGUAUAAUGUUUUGAUCAUCUUAUUCAUAACAUUUGUGACUUAGAUUUACGGUAAGAUUGAGGCAUGGAAAAACCCAUCAGACUACAGGGAACGUGGGUUCUGGAUUGUUUUCCAAACGGUUGAUAACCUUCGUGUUGAAGGCGGUGGACGCGUCGAUGGUAAUGGAAAAAUCUGGUGGCCAAAAUCUUGCAAGAUCAACCCUGAACUUGUAAGCUCUAAUUCUUAGUUCAAUGUCUUAAAAGACAUAAGUUGCAUUGAAACUGACUAAUGAAAUAUUAAUUACCAUUUAUUUUUGUUAAACAGCCAUGCCAGGAAGCUCCCACGGUGAGAACCUCAAACGCAUUACCUUUGUUUUCAGUAUUCAUUUCAGUUUCGAUUAAUGGUUGAUGUAAAUGGAAUAAAUGGGCAGGCGGUAACGUUUGUGGAAUGCAACAACUUGAUGGUAAGAAACAUAAGGUUGGAAAACGCACAGCAAAUGCAUAUGAGGGUUCAAAAAUGCGAAAACGUGAAGGCUUUGAAUCUUAUGGUCAAGUCUCCGGGUGAUAGUCCUAACACCGAUGGCAUUCACGUUACCGGAACUCGCAAUAUCCUCAUUCAGGACUCUAUCAUCCGUACUGGUAAUCAACAAUCCUUUUUUAGAGAUUAUACUAAGAAAAUAAAUAAAUAAAUAUUCCACAAAAUAGGAGUGAUCUAGAAAUUUUCGUAUCAAACUUUUUUUUUUGUAAAUAAAUUUCAUAUCAAACUUUACAUUCGACUUUCUCUUUUUGAAUAUUUAUUUUUGAAAGGAAUUUUCUUUUUAUAAAUUCAGAUAGUAAAGGGGAAACAAGUGAGCUAUAUUAUUUGUUUAUUUCUUGUGGAUAAUAAAUAGUAAUGUGUUGGUUUGUUUUUGGUGAUGAAGGUGAUGACUGUAUAUCUAUAGUGAGUGGGUCGGAGAAUGUGAGAGCGACGGGCAUUACAUGCGGGCCGGGUCAUGGAAUCAGGUCAAACCAUCUCUCUCCCUAUUUUCACCUAAUGUUUUUGUUUUAAUCUUAUUUUAACUAUGAGCAACAUUCAAUUUGUCAACUAACUGUUUUUCUUUGUUGGAAAAAGAUCAACUAAUUUUUAUCAACUUAAAAUCAACAAUUUGUAUAUAAAAAGAGAUGCUGCAAGUUAUUAAAAUAUACGAGUAAAGUUAGAUGCAAUGUUUUAAAAAUGGUCUUAGCCAUUCUAAAAUCAUCUCCAUUUGUCAGAUUCUUAAACAAAUAUCUAAACAAUAUAGUAUUCUAAUUUAAAUUUCAUUCUCGCUUUUACUUUGUUAACUACAUAAUAUCUCAAUAUUACUAUUUAUUUCUUUUAGCAUUGGGAGUUUGGGAGCUCAUAACUCAGAAGCAUAUGUUUCUAAUGUGGUAGUCAGCAAAGCAACUCUCAUAGGAACCACUAAUGGUGUGAGAAUUAAGACUUGGCAGGUAAAUCUCCAACACUAUUAAUUUAUCAAUAUUUUAUGUUAGUCAAAUUUAAUUUGAUGAUCCAAAAACAAUAUAACUAAUAUUCAUGAACAGGGAGGACAUGGAAUGGCAAAGAACAUAAUAUUCAAAGACAUCUUAAUGAAAAACGUUACAAACCCAAUAAUCAUCAACCAGAACUAUUGUGAUCAAACUAAAGCAUGUCCCGAACAGGUUUGCACCGAAAAACCAAAUAUUUUCACCAUAGUUUGAGUACUCAUAAGAAAGCUGACAUGGGAUAUGUUGCAGAAAUCUGCGGUACAAGUGAGCAAUGUAUUGUACAAAAACAUACAUGGGACGAGUUCAAGUCCCGAAGCUAUAAAAUUUGUGUGCAGCAAGAGCAUUCCAUGUCAAGGCAUUUCAUUGCAAAACGUUGAACUGGUCGAUCAAAAUACCAAACAAGAUGUCUCUAAAGCAACUUGCUCGAAUGUGAAGUUAAAGAGUAGCGGACGUCUUUCCUCCCUUUGCACUUGAUCACUUUUGAUCUCCGUGAACAACACAUUUCAAACUUUUCUAUAUUUACUUAAUUUGGUAGUGAGUUGUGUAUAUAGACAAUGUUUGAAGUAUCAGCUAGUAAGAUCAUAAUGCUAUUAAGAAGAAGAAAAUCAAGAAUGAAUAAAGAAUGGUUACAAAUUUAUGUAUCAGAACGUCAGCAAAAUAAAACAAUCAAGUAUCACCCAAACGAUCAAGUGUUGGCAUCUCUUGGGGAAACUAAAAAAAAACUCAAGAGAGCCACACAACUCAACAAUUACAAAACAUUUGUAACUGGAAAAGAAGAAAAAUGUAUACACUUUUGAGUAUAAUCUUCCUGCAAAAAAUUUGGAAUGAAUGUACAGUUAGUCCCAAGGCAGAGGUUGGUUUUGGACUCUCACAAGACGGUGUUGAUGUGAAGUGCUUUGAGGAGAGAUGUAGCCAUUUGCUUCACCAGAACUUGUCCUCCUAAAUGUUGACCUUCACGUCUCUCUUCUAUCAGAUUCUGCAGUCUCUGAGGGAGAUCAUUCUCUACGAUCAGCUGUUUUGGCCUUGGAUGGUGCUCAUAAACAGCCUGUUUCAAAACCAAACACUCAAUAACACCACCUGAACAAGACAAGCAAGACUUGGAUGGUCUAAUGAUACAUUACCUUUAUGAGUUUCAGCAAGUUAAGUCUAGCAAUAGCAUCUUGGUGAUCUAGCCGUGCAAUAAGCAACGGAGUCAAUCCAUUUACAGCUAAUGUAGUAUUGAUUCUAGAUGAUUUCCUGAAUUCAACAACAACAAGAGGAUUAGCUCCACCUUAAGAGGAGGGAGAUACAUCAACUUCACUCAUGGUUAGAUGAUUUGUUGUAUGAGAGGAGAGAUAUAUAUACGUGAUAAUCUUCAAGAAUGGUUCCAAUAUGUGCACAAAAUGUCUUUCAGGACAGCUCUGGAAGAAGUUAACCAAUGUAUAUAUUGCAUCAUCUUUCAGCAAAGCCUGCUCCACCUUGCGGUUGUCAUUGUCUUGAGCUAAGCAAACAGCAAUGGAAUCUAAGGCAAUCACAGACCAAUAUUCAUCGUCUAGCAAACUCAAGUAAACAUCCAGACCACCGUGAGACCUUAACUGCUCUCUUGAGUUCCGAGAUGCAUGAGCCAUGUCACAUAGUAGUGGCAAUGCAUAUUGUUUCAGAGGAGAAUCAGACAUGACGAAAAGCAUCAGGUGAGGUAUGAUUCCAUUUUCAGCCGCUUGUUCUUGUCUCCUCUUGUUUAUCUUGCACAGGUUGAAUAGUGCACUAAGUACCUAUACAAAAUUACAGUUUUAAAAACGUCAGUUUGGGUUUAAACUGGCUAAAAACAGCAACAGAUGAUAUAAAGUAGGCCUGCGGGUUUGAACCGAACUGAAAUUUUUGGUUUUCGGUUCAGUUCCGGUUUAAUUCGGAAAGCUUUUGAAAAUAUUUUGGUUUUUGGUUCGGUUUACCGUAACAAAAAAGAUUUAAAACACAAAAUUAUCCGAAAUUAACCAAAAUAACCGAACCAAAGUAACCAAACUAACCAAAAUUAAUCAAUCUAACCAAAAUACCCGAUCCGAAUAAACCGAAUCUGCAGGACUAAUAAAAACUGGAACAAGAAUCUAAACUUCAAUCUUUCAACAAGUUGUAACCAAUAGAUGAAAGCUAUCUCUAUUCAAGUCAAGAAGGUAACCUCAUGAUGGAUCUGGUCAACAAGAUUCCCCUCUUUAACCUCAAGGUUGGGGAUCAAAUGCUUAAUUGCAUCUGCACGCUGGAGACUCUCCAAGCAAUUUGGAUCAGUAGACAAAUGGUUGGUGCACUUCAGUAUCUGGACAAACAAAAAGGCAUUAUAAGCAUGCGACCUGAAUAAAGAAAUAUUCAUAAUAUUUUUGAAGUACCUUUAGCAGAAUAGGAGGCUCUACACGGUUAAACAUAUGGAAGAGACGACUCAGUAAGCUUUGGCUGCACAUGUAUGACUUUACCGUCGUAUCAGCACGAGCAAAUUCAAGAAGCAAAUCAGCCACUUUCUCCAAGUAUUGGCUUGCGACCUCUGCACUCAGCGUGGUGACCAUAUGUGAAAGUAAACCAGAUGAUGUGUCACUUCCAAGUCUAGCAUUUAGAACACCAGAACCUGACAGUACACCAGAUGCAGAAGCGGCUCCUUCAAUAGCCAUAACCUUCUUCGACAUCGUUUUACUGAAAUAUCUAGGCAUAGUAUCAAUGGAUGCACGCAAAAGAGGGAGUAUACUUUCAUGUUUCUCUAAGCCAGCGAUGUGCUUGACGUAGUCUAGCUGACCAGAGACAUGUCUUGAAGGAGUUUCUUUCUCCAACAAGCUAAGCAAAGGUCGGACUUGUUCUGGCUGAGUAACAGCAUAUCCGUUAGAGGCACUCUCAGCCAGUUUCUGAAUCUUGUCUGUUGAUGUUCUAUUGGAAGAGAUAGAGAUCCUAUGAUGUUGUUUAACAUCUUCUGUUGCAUCUAGUGCAGCACUGCUUGAUCUAGGCCUAUCACCAUCUGGUUGAUAGAGAUCUGAUCUUUGAGAAUUUGAAGGCUCUUCACCACCUCCAGGUCUAGUUUUCAACACAUCGGGAUGAUCAAUCACACUGAGUAAAGCCUCAUGCUGAUCAAGUUGACCAGAGCGUCCUUCAGAAGCUAAUAGAGUUGCCUCGUUUAAGCUAUAGAGAGUAUUGAUCAGCCUUAGAAGAAUGCCAUUCUUUGCAGCUAUACGGCAGAAGUCAUUUCUUGGAGUGGAUCUUUUGAGUUUAAAGACCUGCCACAUCCCAUCAAUAGCUAAGUGAACCAUCUCCCUGGACACACAAAAAAAAAAAAAAACUCAAAAUCAGUAGAAACUAGUAGGCAUGAUGACAGAUGCUGUCUCACAUUAACUUCUGCACUAAAUAUAUUGAAAGUAGUCCAGACACUGUAAGAAGACAGUUCACUGAACCGACCUGUAUUUGGCAUAGUCUGCUUCAAGGAACCCCACCAAAACUGGUAUUCCACGGCAAGCUAUGAACAUUUGCAAUGUCAAGGAGCUGUAAAGAAGCUAAGAAAUCAACUCUAUGACUUGCAAGAAAUAAAAACAAAUAUAGAUGCAAAAGUAAUAUAUAUUUUGAUGGACUUGUAACCUUGACUGACAAAGCUGCUGCAAGAAGUAGGCUGCUUCCUUACGGAUUUCUCUAGACCGAUCCCUCUCAGGACCAGCAAAACUCAUUACCAGAGGUAUCUGCCAAAGAAAACAAAGUUAACUAUUUAAGAUUGUCAUGGAAGUUCAAAAGUGAUAGUGUUAGCUGUUGAUAUGUUUGACAUUUAAGACACAAGCCUUUAUAGGAACAAACUUGUCACAUUCACCACAGUAUACCAAACUACGGAUAAUGAUUCACCAAGUAAGACUUACGAGACCAACGAGACAAGCAUUCUCCUGGAAGUCAAUGUUGUCUUUUAUAAUUUCGUUUAUGAGCUGCAGCACGGCACAAGUUACCUGAAAACACCAGAAAAAUAUUAACAAAGCAUAAGCUAGACCGUAGCAUUCACAUUGAACUAACAACUACUGAUGAUGAAGGAGACAAACAAACAUACACGGGAUUUAGGACUAUCGAGAAGAUCCAUUACAGGGAGGAAACCAUGCUGUGUCACAAACACUACUUUCUGCUCAGGUCUGUGACGGAACAUGGCAACUAGUUUCUGACAGGAAGUUACUAUUGCAUCUUCUGUUUCACUUGGCCGUAAGGAGCUCACCAAUCUGCUGAACUCAACUGCCUACAAGAACUCAAGAAGUUAAUACUAAGCUGAGAGUCACUCAAGUAGAAUCAGCAUAAUAUCCAAAAUUUUGACACAAUUUUAACAAAAUCUAACCGAAAUAAAAAACUUCUGUAGGAUUUUCAAAUACCGAACUAACCGAAUACUGAACUUUAUUUCGGGAUAAUUCGGUAAGAUUUAUGCAAACCGAAUUAGAACUAGCUGAAAAUCGAACUACCCGAACCUGCAGGCCUAAGCAUCAGCAUGAUAUAAAGUUGAAGAAUACCUGUAGAGGAAGCAGAUUAUCAGGAGAGGCUUUUUCAUCAAAUACCUAAAAACAGGAUAUGAAAACAUGUUAAAACAAUAAACUACUUGUGAUUAUCAAAACCUACAUACUUGAGAGACAGAGAGCAUACCAAGCCAUCAAUGUCAAUAACAUCAUCUUUCAAAACACCCAUCAUUAACCGGAAAAGAUCACCACCAUCAUUUGAGUGCCCAGUUUCACCUUCCAUUUGCUUCUGAGCAAUUCUAGCCCUCAGCUUUGUUGCCAGAUCAUUCUUUCCACCAUCUGCUACAGGAGAAUCUCCCUGGUUGGCGUUUGACGCAGGCGUUGAUGCUGAGGCCUCAUUUAGUUUUCCCUCAGGAACUUUAUUCAGUGGAUGGAAUAAAUCAUGCAGACAAGCGUCCCCGGGAGGAUCACUGAAUCUAGUCAGUUCAUUCCCACCAUAACUAGAUGGAGUCUUCACUGCCUUUAAGAUAGUUAUACCAAACAUAACAGAUCUAGUCAGUUCAGUAUAAAAUCUUGUAUAGAACAAGACCAAGGCCCAACAACAAACAAAAAUCUAUCUCACAAUUGAAGCAUCUAAGCAUGGAAGAGUGGAACAUGCCAAGAACAAAAUCAAAUAACUACAAGUUCAGCAAACUGUUUUGUUUCUACCAGUAGAGAAAAAGGACCUUACCAAUUAACUCAACACACAAAAUCAAAUCAUACCCUAGAGUGACCAUAGUAUCCAAUGUUCAAGAAAUAGCUAGGCGCGCUAUAGGGUAUCACGCCUAGACUGAUCUUUUUUAAACCCCUAACCGAUUUUAAAAAAAAAAACUUUCAAGAAAAUUCUAUUUGCGUAGGCCUGAUUUUCCGCCUUGACCAAUUUUUAGAACACUGAUAGUAUCUGACAAAGUGCUAAGACAAAAAUGAUGCAACAACACACCUUUCGAAGCCCACGAUCUUCACCUUUUGGGCCAAAACUAUGUGAUCUCUGCUGCAUCUGGAUGGAAGAUUCUUUUCCAACCUGCUUUGUUGCUGAAGCUUUUCGUCUACCUUCAGAAGCUUCCAUUUCAAGAUUUCCAUCAGGUUCAGAUUUUCCAUCUUGAGAUGUCCCCUUUGCAUCAGAAGAUAUACUACAAGUACUGGAUUGAAGAGAAGACUUAUUAUCAUGGAUAGACAACGUAGGACCUUGAUCUGACAUGAUAUCAUCUUCUGAAUCUGCUCUUUCUUCACCAAUAUCACUGGCUGAAGACUGAUCUUUCUCAGACCUAAAACUCCCCACACCUAAUUUGCUUUUCGAGUUCUGGACAAACAAAAGGUCCUGGAUAAGUAACUUUAGCAAAGUUCAUCUGUAAAGCUUAGGAAUCUUACAGUUUUUGACAUCCCCACUUUCUCUGCUGAAACACUCUCAGCUAUAUCUUGACUACCUUCACCGUCCUUCUCUGAACUUGAAUCGGCUCCCUUCAUAUAUCUGCAGAGAAUUAAGUACUCAAGGGUGAGAUAGAUAAAGUAUUUUGAAAUAUUUUUCCAAAAUUUAAAGUAAAACACACAAGUUUUCGCACCUGAUGGUUCCACUAUGACGAAGUGAUGACUGCAAUGCUCGUCUAGAGUUCCGUAUCCAAGGAUGAGAGAGCAGUGUCUUCGCAUCAGGCCUCUGCCUAGAAUCCUGUAUUAUGCAAAAUACAAAUCAGAUAUGACACUGAAAGGUGUACAGUGGUAAGUAGAAUGAUCAAACAAUAUCGCAUCAAAUUUUACCUUCUUGAAGCAUUGUCGUAAGAAGUCUGUAAUAUCUGGAGAAAGACUAUCAGGAAUAGGAGGGCUAUCAUCCUAAAACCAAAAUCAGAAAAGUGUCAAUAGUUUGUAAUCAAAGGCUCACAGCAAUUACCAUUUUCUUCACCAUUAACGAGAUAAAACAAACUUGUAAAGUGUUGGAAAAAACCUGAACAAUACGGAAGAGAGCAGGCAUGGGUUGCAGAUCAUAGUAAGGAGGUACACAUGUCAAAAGUUCAAUAACAGUGCAUCCAACACUCCAUAUGUCUGAAGCAGCACACACCCCUGACAUUUCAAUAACCUUCAACCAAAAUUUGAGUCUCCAUCAGUACACAAAUAACCAGUUACAAUUAUAUAUAACUUUAUGCAUUUUUCAAAACAAGAUAGAUAUGUAUUGUCAAUGGUAUACCUCAGGAGCCAUCCAGUAAGGAGUUCCAACCACAGAGUGAGUGUUAACAUCAGCCUCGUUUAGUUUAGUAGCAACUCCAAAGUCAGCAAGCUUGACAAGGCCCUGAAGCAUGAGAUUUUUCAAGUGUCAAAGAAAGAACAGCCUAGAUGAAUCUUGUGCAUCGCAUAGUACAAUCCACAAAGGUAGAGAAAAACACACACCUCUUUUGUUGUCAAAAUAUUUGCACCCUUGAUAUCACGAUGUAUGACACCUUGCUCAUGCAGAUAUACUAAACCUUCCAAGACCUGUAAUUCAUUAGUUAGUAUACAGAUAUUUUCAGAAACUUAACUAGAAAAAAAACAUAGAUAGGGACGGACCUGAGCAAUGUAAACAGUGACCAAAGAUUCUGGGAAAGGUCCAAAUUUAUUUGGUUUGAUAAUGUUUGCAAGAGAGCCAUUCUCCACAUACCUGCAAAUACAUAUUUGAUUGGACUUGAACUUUGGGUGGAAAACAAAAAAUAAACACAAAACUAGUAGUAGUACUUACUCCAGGAUAAUGUGAAGGUGUGUCUUUGUCUUCAAGGAGCCAAGAUACUUGACAAUGUUUUUAUGGUUUAGGUUCUGCAUUAGAAACCUUAUGUUAGAAGGACAUAGAGAGACACUACAGAGCAGUAACCAUUAAUGAGAAGAUACCAAAGCUGAGAAGGUGAUUAAUUAUCUCAAAUUUGUAUAACAGUUAUGUCUAAAUAAUGGGUCAAGCUCUGCAUGCAUUGCAGUUCCAGAGGAUAAAGAGUAUGUAAUGGAAACUACCUUUAACAAAUCGAUUUCUUGCUGGAGAACACAAUCAUCCCCAACAGCCAAGAACCAUCAAAAAGUAAAAAGGAAAGGAGAUGAGAGACAGAACACAUUAGUCCAUAAAGGACAGAACCAAAUAAAGAAACCAAACCAUGAUGGUGUUGAGAUCCUCUUGAACAAUAUUCUCCAAGGAGACUUGUUUAAUAGCCACAAAAUCUCCAUUCUCCAGGUCUAAUCCUAUGUAUACUCGACCAUAUGCUCCUUUGCCAAUCUCAUCCCCAAGCAUCUGCCAUCAAAAAUAGUCAAAACAAAAAAAAAAACAAAAGUUUCCUCCUUUGCCUCAGAAUCAGAAGAAGAAGGCUUUACAUAUUUGUUGUCGAGGGUCUUCGAUUUGUGGAACUGAGAUGACGUCAUUUGUCUCGCCAUCUCUUCUCCUUCCUUCCUCCGUCGUCAAAACGAACAAUUGCUAACGAAUCCGAUCCAUUUUACAAGGGAAACAAAUCACAACAACAAGAACAAUUACAAUUAGGGUUUUAAUUACACAAAUUCGAGAGAUUGAUUAUAGCUUCUUGUUGUUUAAUUAUUUAAAAAAAAAAUUCAAAUUAAAAAUUAAAGAAAAGACAACUAAGAUUUUUGGUUCGGACAUUGUGACCGAACUGGAUUAACAGAGAGACAGUUAUGUCGUCGAUUCCCUCACGCGCCACUUUCUUCGUUUGUUAUUUGGCCCCUGAAAUUUUAUUUCUUUACGAUUUCAACCCUUCAUUUCUAAAAUUAUCCAUUUAACCCUUUUCUAUUUAAAAUGUGCCACAAACUUUUUUUAAUUUAAAUAUCCUAACAAAAAAAUGUGGCUGAGGAAGGACCAACCGAAAAGGAUAAAUCUUCUUCUGCACAUUCAUCAUCUUCUUCUCUGUUUUCCUCAAAGCUCCCUCCUUUCAAUGGCGACUCUAAGCUUCAACACCACUCGUAUGCGAACACCUUCACUUCCAAGAAUCUCUAGACCAUCUUCUUUCACUAAACCCAUCAAAACCCAUCUCUCCUCCUCCUCCUCCUCACAAACCUUAUCCAAACGCCACCGUUUCGUCUCUCGAUCCUUACCUGAGACAAAAGAAGAGACCCUCAUCAUCAAACAGGAGGAAGAAACCGAAGACGACGAUCCAACCUCUGAGCUGAGCUAUCUCGAUCCGGAAACAGAUGCAGAGAGCAUAAAAGAGUGGGAGCUGGACUUCUGCUCGAGGCCGAUUCUUGAUUCAAGAGGGAAGAAGAUAUGGGAGCUUGUGGUUUGCGAUGCUUCGCUCUCGCUUCAAGUCACCAAGUACUUCCCCAACAAUGUCAUCAAUAGUAUAACACUCAAAGAUGCUAUUGUUUCUAUUACGCAAGACUUGGGUGUCCCUCUUCCUGAGAAGAUUCGCUUCUUUAGGUAGUGAACAAAGACACAUUCAUAAAGUAGAUCUUUUUCAAUGAUCUUAUUGUUGAAGUUUGUGUUUUUUUUUUAAAUGGCAGGUCACAGAUGCAAACCAUUAUCACAAAAGCUUGCAAAGAGCUUGCUAUAAAGGAAGUGCCUAGCAAACGGGUAUGAGCACUCUUUCUUGUGUUUAUGGUCAUGAGCAUAGGCUAGUGCAUCAAUAGUCUUAGGCCUGAGGGUUCGGGUAGUUCAGGUAGUUAGGUUCGGGUAGUUUGGAAUUCGAGUAGUUCGGUUCGGCCAAAAUCUGCUGAAUUGAAUCGAAAAAAGUUUGGUUUGGUAUUCCGGUAAUUCGGUUUUUCAAAAUUUUGCUUAAAAUUGUGGUUAAAUCGGUUAAUUUUGGUUAGUUCGGUUCAAAAUUUUAGUUAAUUUGGUUAGUUCAGUUCAAAAUUUUAGUUAAUUUGGUUAACCUAUUUUUUGGAAAAAGCCGAAUUAACCGAUUAACGAACCAAACCAAAAACUGAAGUUUUUUAUAAACCUGUCGAAACCGAACUAACCAAAAUUUUUGGUUUGGUUCAGUUCAUAACCGCAUGCCUAAUUAGUCUAUAUCCCCCAAAGUUUUAGAAAAAUAUUUACACAUAAAUAGGUCCAUAAAUUUCGUUUUAAAAAAAUUAUAUAAACCAUUACUAAAUUGUUUAUAUCUCCUAAAAUCUCAGGACAGCCCAUGUUUUCUUGUUUAUUAUAUAACAAAAGUGAACUCUAUUCUGCAGUGUCUGUCUCUGUUUCUAUGGUUGCAAGAACGUUAUGACACUGUGUACACGCGUCACCCUGGUUUCCAGAAGGGGUCAUUGCCUCUUCUAUCUCUAGACAAUCCAUUUCCAAUGAAUCUUCCUGAGAAUUUGUUUGGGGAGAAAUGGGCGUUUGUUCAGUUACCUUACUCAGCCGUUAGAGAAGAGAUCUCAGACUUUGAUGAGAAGUUUGUGUUUGGUGCAACCUUAGACUUGGACCUGCUUGGCAUUGACGUUGAUGAGAACACACUGAUCCCUGGUCUCUCCGUUGCUUCUUCGCGUGCUAAACCUCUAGCAGGUUAGUGUCUGUAGUUUCUUGACAAGUCAGUUAUGUGGUUUCUGAUCAUUAUGCAUUGUCAUUAUAUAGCUUGGAUGAAUGGUCUUGAGGUAUGUUCGAUCGAAGCAGACAGUUCUAAAGGAUGUUUGAUUCUGGCCGUUGGGAUCUCGACAAGAUAUGUCUAUGCAACUUACAAGAAAACACCUGUUACUACUGAUGAAGCUGAAGCUUGGGAAUCUGCGAAGAAAGCAAGUGGAGGUUUGCAUUUUCUUGCAAUUCAAGAUGACUUGGAUUCUGAUGAUUGUGUUGGCUUUUGGCUUCUUAUUGAUUUGCCACCACCUCCUGUUUAGUUUCACAUUGAUAAAAUUGGUAAUAACCAUGUUUUGCUAUUUAGUAAGAGAGUAGAACUAUGGGUUUCUCUCACAUUAUUAAAAGAAAUAGUUACAUGAGUUUGCAAAAAAAGUAGUAUUAUUAUGGACAUAGCGCAUAGAUGUGAGUUACAGACUUCUUUGAAGCACCUAGCCUAACCAGACGUUUCCACAAAGAAAAUGUCUAGCCAUCUAGGUUUCCAUAUAAUCAUCGCCUGAUCAAAUUAUUUAUCUGGAACUCUUUAAGCUAAACAAGAUAGAGAGCCCUUUCGUGCAAAAUGUGAAAAGAACACAAGAAAUAUACAACAAAAACGAAGAAAUGCAGAAGAAGAUGCAUCUCAGUAUAAACUAAGUCCUAGGAAGAUGAAGGGGAUCGACCACGCAAGAAUUUCCACGGUCCAGUUCCAGUUGCUAUCCUGCAUAAUUUCAAAGGAGUCAAAGACUGCAUCGUCUACUAUAAAGGAGAAUUAGAUUUUAACCCGCACUUCCGUGCGAAUACUUUUUCAUUUUAUAAAUACAUAUGAUAUUAUUACAAAUGUUUAGAUAUAUAAUUUCUAUUUUAAUAUUAUUUAUUAUGUAAUUCUGAUGACAAACAAAAAAUUGUUUAACUCUAUAAUAUUAUUGUUUAUUUCUUAUUUGACAUUAUUAAUAUAUACUGAUUUGUUUAAUACAUUUUACUUUGUUAUUAAUUUUUAUUACUUACUAAUAUAUUUUCGACUUAGUAUAAUAAAAUAACAAUAUGAAAUAAUCAAAUAGAUAAUCUCCUUCAAAAUAUGUUUUUUUCUUUAAUUUAUACAUUUUGCUAUAAUACAUUUUUAAUAUUUACUUAUCUAUAUUAUAGAAAAGAAAUUUGAAAUAUUAUCAUUUUGAGUUUGAAUAUUUAUUUUCAAAAUUUAAUAUUUUGUCAAGAAACUUUGAAAAAUUACAUUACUAUUUUUUAAUUUGGAAGAUUACAUGAAUUUUGAAUUUAUUUUUGUUACUACAUUAAUACAUUAUUUUAUUAAAAAAUAUUUGAACUUUUGGUAAUAUUUUCUAUUUUUUCUCAACAUAUUUUUUUAUAAUUAAAAUAAACUAAAAAAUUUAUAAUUAAAAUUUUAUUUGUCAUUAAUAUUUUAAAUGAAUUAUUAAAAUUUCAUAGUUUUCUAAUAACAUAUUUUUUAAAUAGUAUAUGAACUAAAGGUUAUUAUACACUAUUAUAUUUUUGUAUAUAAACAUUUUAAACAAUAUAUUGUUGAGAGUUUUGAAAUAAAUAAGAAGAUAACAUAUAGUUUGUAGAUAUAAAAUUUUAACUUAUGUUAAUAAAUUUAUUUUUGUAUAAAAAUAUUAUAUAUUUUACGAAUUUUAACCCAUUUUAAUGAUGAUAGAUAAUUUAUUUAAAUGAAACAAUUUAAAAAUAAAUUUUUAGUUUACCUAUUUAAUAUAAUUUUUGGAUUUAAUUAAUAUAGCACUUCUAUUUUUAUAUAAUACAUAAUAUAAUUAUAUAAUUUAUAAAAUAGUAUAUAGUUUUAUUUUCUUGUUUUAUAAUAAAAUUUUGGUUAACAUUGAUUUAUAACAAUAUUAUAUUACUAAUUAUGAAAUUAAUUAAUAUGUUAUUUUAAAAAAAAUAUUUAAAAUUUUAAGUAAGAUUUUGUUAGAUUAUUUCUCAAUAAAUGUUUUUUAUAAUUUAAAAAAAAAUUAUAAUUGGUUUAUUAUUAAUGUAAAUAAUCAAAUAAAUUAGGUAUACAACUUACUAAAGGCCCAUUAAGGCCCAACUAAUUUACCUGGCAAUUCCAGUAAUAGCUCGGAGGCCCAUAUAGAUGGUAAGAGCUAUCCAUAUGCCUAGAAAACCAUUGAACUUUGCCAUGUAUAUUAUUGCUGCAAUGCUUAUGGCCGCAACUCCUACCUGAUUUAUCAUAAUAAAGUCAACUUUCAUGAAAAACAUGCAAAAAUAAGUAAUCAUUGUGAAAGCAUAUUAAUGAAGUAAUGAAAAUAGUGCGUACCAUGGAGUAUGCAGUAUAAGCAAAAUCAGAUGCUCCAAAAUUGACUCCGUCCAACACAAAAGCGAGUGAGUUUAUUGGCUGUGUUGCUGCUACAAACUGAUGUCUCCCACACAGAUCAGAUAUAAUAUAACAUCUUAUUAGUCACUAUCACUACUUACUAGUAUUUAUAAGUAGAGAUAUGGUAUUAUAUAUUAGUACCGGUAUUCCAAUUGCUAUGAGGUGAAUAACGGCAGGGUCCUUGGUGAAUAUUCCCGCACCAAAGUAUAGUCCUAGUCCAACGAAAACGGACAGUCCAAGUCCUAGCACAAACCCCAUCUGCAUAUCAAAUUCAUUUGUUUUACACUUUUUUAUAAAUGUGUGUCUAGACCGAAUCCCAAUUUUUUCCCUGGUUGUUAUCAAUGAGUAGCUCAACCCCCAUAUUUUAAAAAUGAAGCAUAAGACAUGGUCCCAUGUUGCUAGUUACCAAAAAAAAAAUGGGAAAAAGCAAUUAUCCUUAGGGACUGGUAUCGUUUCAUGAAGAUGAUCGAGACAUAACCUGUAGAACACGGGAUGCACACGAAGACACUUUGUUGUAGUCUUUCUCGGUAAAAGAACAAGCCAGAAUCGCCUGCAAAAGAUUUUAAAUGAUGAUGAUUUACAUAUACAACUUGAUCAAGCAAUAAUAUAUACACAAUGGGAACAUGAUAAAUUAAAUAAUACUAUAAUAGUGAUUAUACCUGACCGGCAACAGCAAGACCAUCAGCGAGGAGAGAAGUAGUUAACCAGACUUGUAAACAAAUCUGAAAAGCAGCCAUUGGUGUUGCUCCGAGCCGAGCCGCCAUUGCUGCUGCUAGUGUCUGACAAAACGUCACAGCUAUGGUCCUCGCCAGCAAUAGCCCCCCUUUCAUUUUCAAAAUUGUUAAGACAUCCCACAUUUCUAUAUAUUUUAUAAAUAUAUUUCGUCACUAAUCCAAUAAAUAUACAUGAAAUUUUUGAAAACAUGAUGUUUUCACAAUUUUUUUUUUACUUGUAAUAAACUUUACUUUGAUCAUUGCAAGAAUGAAUAACUUUAAUGGAUAUGCAUCCCUACCAUUUUUAAGGAACUUUCCGAACUGUAAAGCUGCGAAGUUUGGUGGCAUCAAAUUAACUUUACUCGCCAGGCGGGUGAAUAGUAUUAGAGUCAUGAAGUACCUUCACACAAGUGAAACCGUUAGUUUUACCUUUCUUGUUUCUUUUGAUUCAAGCAACUCUUGGAGUUACAAGUUUUAGUUUCAUAUUUGCAUGUGUGAAAACAUUUUGAGAGCUGUUCUCUUACUGAGAAAUGACAUGGGCAAUGGCUGCACCGCUGAUGCCAAGGUGAAGGACAAAUAUGAAAAUUGGGUCGAGAAUGAUAUUGAUAACAUCUGCUACGACUGUUUCAUGCAUCAAGAUGAUACAUGUUAGACUCUCAUGAUAGAUUGAUAUCUAAUAUGUUUACCUAAAGAUGAUAAAAAUGUAACUUACUAGUAGCAUAGAGAGGAGUUUUGGUGUCCUUGAAGCCACGAAAUAUGCCUUGCAUUGAAAGGGAUAAUAGCAAUGCAGGAGCACCUAAUGAUCGUAUGGUCAAGUACUUGUGUGCUGGUGAUAACACUGCCGAAUUCUGAUAAUCAAAAGUCAACUCAAAAUAGUCAAGCAUUUUGUCAUAUCCACUAUUAUGUGCAUGACUAUCUAUAUAUAUAACCUUAUACCGGUUUCACUCCCAUGACACCUAGGAGCACUUUCGAGCUGAAAAUCAAGAAUAUAGCUUGCACAAGGCCCAGGAUUAGCCCUAUGAUCAUGGCCGUUGAUGCCGAUUUGAUAUUCUUCUUUCCUUUCUUAUUUGCUUUGUUUCCGCUGCUUGAUUUUGUAUCUGAAGCUAGUACACACAUCAACAAAAAAACAAGAAAGUACAGUUUAUCAAAAUUUACAAACAACAUUGUUUAGUUUUUUUUUUCAAAAACUAGUUUAGAAAAGUGUAAACUUAAAUUACAAAAGGUGUAAACAUCAAAGUCAAGCACAAACCGAAAGAUAAACCGUUUGUAUUUAUAGUCAAGCACAAACCGAAUGUGUAAACUUAGAUUUUGUUUCCACAAAAUUUUUCACAUAAAAUAUAUGCACUAAACACGAAAGCCAAAAAAAAAAGGCAAAUGUUAAUCAGAAAAUGAAAAAAAAAUAAUCAAACUUUAAUCAAAAAGUGAAAAAGAACUAAAGAAAAACCAAAAAAAAAAAUCCUAACACUAUCUAAACCCUUGUUCUGUUAGAAACGUAAUAAUUUCAUUAGGCCAUGACAAUAUUUACCGGGCGUUUGCUGCGGCUGGUUCAUGUUGUUACUUGUGGGCGACGCAAUGCCUUUUUCUAAUGAAUCUUGAACAGCUAAAGUAUUUGCAUGAACACGAUUGUUUUUCUUUGCUUCUUCUUCCUCUUCUUUUAUCUUCUCCAUCGUGUUUUCCUCAGCGACAAAGGAAGUUGUGACGCUCACAAUUGGGAAUAUCGUGAUUCUAGAAGCUUGAUUGAAUAUAGCAAUGGAUACUCCAACCGCUGCUAGCUCGACCGCUCCUAAACGUCCGAUAUAAGCGGUGUCAAUCAGAGAGGCUAUUGGAUCAGCAGCUAAAGCUAAAGCCGCAGGAAACGCUAUGCCUAGUAUCUCUCGCCCAAUUGCAUCCUUACUGAACACACGUCUGCAGAUUUAUAUACAACUAAACGUUAUGCAUUACUCCUUUUUUUGGUCAAAUGCAUUACUCCUUUUUAAUAUUAUUAAUAUCUGCCAUUUCAUAUAAACUCACAUUUUUGGUAUGAGAUAUAAACACACUUACGUUAACUCGUUGAAGAUAACAAGAAAUGGGAUCUGCGUGACCACGCUGGCCGGAACUGAAGUAAGAUCACCAGUUUCCGUCAUCAAUGAAGCUUCUUUCUAUGUGUUUGGUUUGCCGUGUCUGAAAAUAUUAUCUUAACUGUUUUCAAGAAUCAAAUGUAAAGGGGAGGUUUAAAUAAGCGAAAUUUCUACGUAAUGAGCAUGCAUAUAUUUAGUAUUUAAUUUGAAAAAGUGUGAGCAUUUCUUUCUUUCUUUGAAAAAAGUACGAGUUUAAAUAAAUAAAUGUACUUCCCUGGCCAAAAAAAUGAAAAUAAAGGUACUUCUAGGGAUGUUAAAAUGGAUAAACCUUCCUCACUUAAAUCCAUUUCAUAUAGAACCCACCCCAAUUAAGUCCUGAACUUGUUUAGAUCCAUAUAGUUCUAAGAUGUACGUAUUAGUAUUAGGGUUACUCAUUUAGACACGCAAAUAUUAAAUUAUCCCAUUUAAACUCGUUUAGACCCAUUUAAAGUGAUAUAUGAUUUUUAUGUUUUUAAUAUUUAUAUUUAAUGUAAGUUUAUUUGGAAUAAAAUUUUAUUAUUAAGAAAAUAUAAAAAUAUAUAAAGAUUGAUUAUGGAAAAGGAGAUUUCAGUUUUCUUUUAACCACAAAAUCUAAUUAUUCCGUCAACCAUAAAAUUAAUUUCCGCUAAAAUCAUAAAAUAAGAAUUUCACGCCAAAAUCGCAAAUCGAGUUUUUAUGUCAAAACUGUAAAUAAAGUUUUUCAGCCAAAAUCGCAAAUCAAACUUUCCCGCUAUAACUGCAAAAUCACGUUUUCCCACAAAAUCAAAAAAUCGAAUUUUUAUGCCAAAAUCGAAAAUUACAAUUUUCCCCAAAACUACAAAAUCAUGUUUUAACCCAAAAAAUUUAAAAAUCGAGUUUUUCCACCAAAACCGCAAAUCAAGUUUUCCCAUCAAAACCGUAAAAUUGAAGUUUCCCACCAAAAACACAUAAUUGAGUUUUCCCGCCAAACCGCAUUCACAAUUAAUGCAGCCUUAGAUGCGUUGAUAGUUCGCCAAUGGCUCACAACCACUUUUUCGAUGGAUUGAUCUGGACUCCCCACUUCAUUUCUGCCAAAACCACAAAAUUGAGUUUUCAGCAAAACCGCAAAAUUGUGUUUCCGCAAAGUCAUGUUUUCUCUCCAAAACCGCAGUAUCAUGUUUUCCCGCUAAAACCGUAUUUGUUUUACCCGCUAAAACCACAAAAUCGUGUUCACCGACAAAAUUAUAAAAUUGUAUUUUGCGCCAAAACCAAAAAAAUUACAUGAAAUCGCAUUUUUCACAAAGUUGGAAAAUCAUGUUUUUCCGUUGAACCCACAAAAUCGGGAAUUUUUUCAAAGCUGCAAAUUGUGUUUAAAAAAAAACAAAAAUAGUUAAUUAACUUCUUAUAUAUUAAAACAGAAGUCAUGACUUCAAGUCAUGACUUCUUUUCAUGUAUGAUUUUUUUAGUUUGGACCAUUCCUAGAAAAUAUCAUAUUUAACAUAAGUUCAUUAUUAUAUAUUUUAAUAUCUUUAUCUUUUUAUUUGAAAUACAAAUGAAUAUAUUUAAAAUAUUCUAACAAAAUCAUUUUAAAAUCUUCUUAGAAUUUUUUUAAAUUUACUUUCAAAAAUUAGUUAGUUUUAAUUUAAAUUAUCAUAAAAUAUAAUUAGAAAUUAAAAUUGAAUAUAGUUUUGGUUUAUAAACAAAAAUUUAAAUAAAAUGAAAUUAAUUAAUUUCACAAAUACAUUUACUAAUAAUUUUUAAAGAUUUUGUUAGAAAUAAAUAUUUAUUUUUAUUUUAAUUUUUUCAAAUUUGUUUUCUAAUAAAAUAAAAAUCUUAUAUAUUAAAAAAGAAGUCAUGACUUCUUUUCAUGUGUGAUUUUUUUAGUUUGGACAAUUCCUAAAAAAUAUCAUAUUUAACAUAAGUUCAUUAUUAUAUCUUUUAAUAUCUUUAUCUUUUUAUUUGAAAUACAAAUGAAUAUAUUUAAAAUGUUAUAACAAAAUCUUUUUAAAAUCUUCUUAGAAUCUUUUUAAAUUUACUUUCAAAAAUUAGUUAGUUUUAAUUUAAAUUAUCAUAAAAUAUAAUUAGAAAUUAAAAUUGAAUAUAGUUUUGGUUUAUAAACGAAAAUUUAAAUAAAAUGAAAUUAAUUAAUUUCACAAAUACAUUUACUAAUAAUUUUUAAAUAUUUUGUUAGAAAUAAAUAUUUAUUUUUAUUUUAAUUUUUUCAAAUUUGUUUUCUAAUAAAAUAAAAAUCAUGAUUUUUUGAUGAGGGAUAUUUUUAUUUGGACCAUCAUUUAAAUUUUAUAUUAAAUGUAUAUCACUAAUGCUAAUAUACAUAAUAUUUUUAACUACUUUAAUCAUAAUAUCUUUUAUAUAUUUUAAUUUUUUAAAAAAUAAAAAUAAAAUUCUAACAAAUCUCUUGAAAAAGAUUAUAAUAAGAUUGCAAUGAAAUGUUACUAAAAGAAUAAAAUUAUAUCCUAUUUUAUCAAUUUUAUAAUAAUAUCUAUCAUUUUAAAAUAAAAAAAGUUAUAUUGAACAAAAUUUGAUAAAAAUAUUUUAAAUUGAUAAGUUAACAUAUUUUAUUUUCAUAAAUAUAAAAUAUUUAUGCUAAAAAUAUAAUAUGUUGGUAGAACGGGUUAAUAUUAGUAAACUAUAUAAUACAUAUAUAAAAAUUUAACUUAUUUUAAACUUUUUAAUACACAGUAAUUUAUUAUAUAAAAUUAAUAAACAUUAAAAAAUUACUAAAAAAAUCUAGCGAUUUGAAUUAUGGAUCAUGAUUAUAAUAAAUUAAAUACAAAAUUGUUUUCUUAUAUGUUGUUUCAUGCAUUAAAAAAUUUAGUUUAGUAAUCAAACACAAAUUCAAUAAGACAAAUAUAUAAUAAGCAACAUAUAUAUGUGAUGAUUUUAAUUUACAGCAUGAAAACUAUAAAAUUAUUAUAUUUAGCAUAAUUAUACAAACUUUUAAAUAUGUGAGUAACAUUAAAAAUAUAUAAUAAUUAUGUAAAACAAAUAUCUAUAUAUAUAAAUGUGAAAAUAUAUACCCGCACGGUUGUGCGGGUGGAAAUCUAGUUAUUAAGUUAAAUGGAUUAACAACAAUGUUUUGAAAUCGGACCAGGACCUGUGGUCGACCGGUAAAUCCAGUGAUCCGAUAUGUAAUCCAGUGACCCGAUAUGUAAUCCGAAAAUUAAAAAAAAAACUAUUAUUUAAAAACUCGAUAAAAUCUGAAAAAACUGUUAAACCUCUGAAUUUGGGUACCGAUUGAACUACUGCUAGUUGAACCAGUAUGUAACAUCUACUUAUCUGUUUUUUAGAUUAUUUCAGUUGCAUUAUUAGGAUAUGUUUCGUAUUCUAAUUAAAAAGUUAAAUUUUUAGUUUGAAAAUAUAAAAAGAUCAUAUGAUCAUGUGUAUUAUGAAUCAGUUAACAAAACUAGUUGAUGUGAUUUAGUAUUAGGUUUUUUGUUAUCGACAAUCUAUUACAUUUUAUGUUUUACUUUUGCUUAUUUUAGAUUUAAAGUUUAAUUUUAUUAUUAUUUUUAAGAAUUUGAAUUUUUGAUAUAUGUUUAUUAUAUGUCAUUACUUUUAACUUGUUACAAAAAUUGUUAAUAGUCUAAAUUAUUUUUUGAUAUUUUGUAUGUGAAAUGAAAAAAAAUAAAGAAAAUAAAGUUAUAUAUUUUUCUAAAUGUUUUUUAAAACAUAAAAUAUUUCUUUUUACUUUCAAUAGCUAGUAUAUUAUUAUUUAUCAAAACUAAUUAAUUUAUUAACUCACGCGAUUCGUCCACGGUCGAUCCGGGUUAUUGAUCCGGGCACUCCCGGUUCAGCGUCUGGAUUGAGUUAAAAAACCGUUGGGAUUUGGGAGUAGUUUAGGCUGGUGCGAGUGAUUACGAGAGACGACGUUAAUUAAGUUUUAAAAAGCCUGGUGACCUUAAUUUGCUAACAUUCAUUGUAUUCUUUUUUGUUUAUUCAGUGUACCGUUCGAAUUUGAAAAGUAAUGUCGGCUAAUCUUAUAUAUUAAAAUAGAAGUCAUGACUUAGUUCAUGUGUGAUUUUUUAUUUGGACCAUCCCUUAGAAAUUUGUUUAAAUUAAAUCUUUUAUAAAUAUAUGAAUUAUUUUUAGUUAUUCUAAAACAAAAAUCAAAUAGAUAUUCCUAUAUUUUCUCUGAAAUUGUAUAUGAAUAAAAUCUUUUCAUAUCUUUUUUUUACAAAAAAUAUAUAUAUUAUUGAUUUUCAUUAAAAUAAACCUUUAAAAUAUUUAAUUAAUUUCCUAUUUAUUUAGAUAAUGUAUAUUUAAUUUUUUACGUAAUAAUUUUAUAAAAUAUUUGCUAAUUUCGUGUUUAUUUAAAACAUAAAUGUAUACUUCAUUUUAAAUCAAAAACUUUUUAAAUAUCUAAUUAAUUUUGUAAUUAUAAAUAAAAUCAUGUAUAAUUUUAUAUUAAAUUUGUGAUAUUAAUUUAAUAUAAUACUUGUCAAUUAAAAUUUUGAUCCUUAACCAAUAAUAUAUUUCAAUUCAUAAUUUUGUAUCACAUAAUAUAAAAUAUGCUAUCACUGAAAAUUAAAAAAAAAAAUUUAUUGUACGUGAACUAUAAAGAUAUUGUAUUUUAAAAUAUUAUAUCAAACAAUUAGUAAUAUUGUAAAUAUUACAAUUAGUCACAUAAAGCAAAUAAUUUUGUGUGUACAAAUAAAUAUAAUCAUCCGCACGGUUGUGCGCAUCAAGAUCUAGUGUAUAUUAUUAAGAAUGGGUGGGUUUGCGAGUAUAUCGUAAUUGUUGGACUUCACGAGGUGAGUAGUCGUAUUCGUUUAAGUUAUUAUUUAUAUUUGCAAAUGACGUGGGCAGUAGUUGUGGGCUAAUAUUUUUUUGCCUAAUUUUGUUAUUAUUUAUCUCUUCAUGAGGUCAGUAGUUUGGGGCUAAUAUAUGUUUUGCCAAAUUUUGUUUAAUUGGAUUUGUAAAACAUUGAUGAGCCUUUUGCCGGGGAAAUUUGGACGAUUAUUAGUUUUUAGUGAUCCAUUUGUGGGUUGUUAAUAAUUUUUUGGACGAUUAUCGGUUUGUUAUCUUAAUUUGUUGCAGAGAUGUGUUUUCUUAUGUUAUAUGCGUAAAACUACUUGUGUCACUACAAGAAAACAUAUUUUUUACGAGGGCAAUAUACGUUGUAACUUCGUCGUAAACGGAGUGUUACGACGAAUGAACUUCGAAACACGUUUCGUCGUAAAACGCCCGUCGUAACCGACGAUUCGUCGUAAAUGACUUGUUACGUUUACGACGAAAUAUAUUCCUCGUAAAGCGCAGGGCAGAUAUUCGUCGUAAAUGACACGUAAAAUUUCGUGGUAAACUCCACGUAAUGGAUUCGAUGUAAAGCACACGUAAAUUGUUUCGUUGUAACACCCUCGUAAAUGUUUCGAUGUAAACUCCACGUAAAAUUUCGAUGUAAAGACCACGUGAAAUCUUCGAUGUAAAAGACUCGUAAAUCAUUUCGACGGUAAUUAGUUGUAAAUGUUUACGUCGAGCCUACAUCGACGUUUCGUUUUAUAAUAUAUUUUGAAUAUUGUUUUUAACCUCAAAUAUAUUAUAAUUUGAAUUUAUUUAAAAUUCAGAAUUUUAAAUAAUUUUAAUUUUAAAUAAAUUAAAUUUUAAAACGAAAUAUGAAAAUAAAAAACAUAUAUAAAAAAGCAUUUAAAAGUCAUAAUAUUUAAAUUCAUAAUACAAACCGAAAAUAUUAAAAAAACUACAUAUCAUCGAAGUAGUCGGUGGGGUUGCUCGGCUGUUGACGGGUUGGAUCGGACUCUUGGGGAUCUCGUACUGGCAACCCAAGAGCGGCUCGUCUCUGACUCAACAUUCUCUGCAUAACCGGGUUUCCCACGGCCAUCACGUCUAGCAAAUCCUCAAGAGAGUCUAAACGAACCUGCUGGCUAUCCAUUCGAGCUUUCAUCUGAGAAGUCUCUUCAUCCCGUCUCGAAGUGUAUGACGAAGUUGCCCUUGCAACUUGGUUAACGGAGCCUAUACCGACUAUUCGGCCCUUCUUUCUAGGAGCCAGCUAUAAAAUUAAAACAUAUAUUAAUAUAGUUAUUAAAAAUAAUGAAAAAAAAAAUUUUAGUUGUACUACCUCUUCGAAGAUUCGGUCGGCUUCUUCGGUGGACAAUGUGACGGGUAAUCCAUCGGGAGACUCCUGAGUUAGUUGCGUCUCCCGUUCUUCAAUCCGAGUAGCCACUGCUUGAGCGAGUUUCUCAGAUGCAGGAUCCACAAAAACUCCGUCGGAUGUGGCGUGAGUCAUCUUGAAUAGGUCAGACAGAGAUGGUAAGACUCCCGUCUUCUCCAACUACAAAAAAAAAAAAUAUUAAAAGUUAUAUUAAUUGAAUAUUUUAAAAUAAAUAUUUAAAAACAAAACUUACAACGUCUAGACGGAUGCCUGCAUGUGGUUUUUGGCCGGUUCUGUGAAGCAUGGGCAAAUUACCAUCUUUAUCCUUCGUUCUUCGAGAAGCCGAGCACGAAUUGGCCUUUUUGAUCGAAGACGGGUGCUUCCAAUAGGCGAUGAGGCCAUCCCACACAUCCUUCGUGAGCUCAGUGGGCUUUCCCUCAUACCCGUCGAGCUCCCACUUGUCCUUCCAAUCGGAGACUGUGUUGCAGAGGCGGAUCUUUGCUUUUGCAACGAAUUCCGCCUUCACCAUCUCGGUGAUUCCCAAAGACCAAUGCCACUUUUGCUGAAACACAAAAAAUUUGAAAAAAUUACAAUUAAUAAUAAUAUUUAAAAAAUAUAUACAUAUUUAAAAGUUAAAAUUUAAUUAAAUUUAAAAAUCUUACCGCAAACAUUUUAAACCACGUGAUCUUAACGUGAUUUGGAGUCUUGCUCCAGUUCGGAUAUGCCCCGUCGUAGUAACCCUUAAUCGUUUUCGAAACGCUCCGGCCAACACGGUUAUUAGCCCCAAACCUGAAAGGAAAACAAUUUAACCGUUAGAAAAUAAAAAUAUUUUAAAUUUUUAUGUAAUAAAAAUCAAUAACUUACCAAUAAGUUCCUCGGGGUCUAUCGGGGUCUAGAACAUCCAAACCCUCUCGUCCGGGCUGGGCAAGCAAAUCCUCUACCGUAUAUCUCGCGAAUGGGGCAUAUGAAGGCACACGCAAAUCCGGAUGAACUGCACCUUCUGGGACAGGCUCAGGUGCAGCCGCUGGAGGAGGAGGUGGAGGCAUAUGCGGUGGAGGCAUUUGCGGUGGAGGCAUCUGCGGUGGAGGAGGACUCCAAGCAACUCUCUGAGAAGGCUGAGAGUCUGGAACUGCGGUGGAGGAUGAUGGACCAGAAGACGAUGGACCGGAAGAAGAUGUACCGGAACCAUCGUCGCCAAACAAAUCUCUAUAACUAGGUGCUCUGGAUUUUCUUCUAGGAGCCAUCUAAAAAAAAUUAAAAUAAAUUUUAUCAGUUACAACAUAAUAAAAAUAUUAUUCCGUUACCUAACUAAUCACCUAAACUAAUUACCUAACUAAUCACCUAAACUAAUUCCGUUACCUAACUAAUCACCUAAACUAAUUUAAAAAAAAAAAAAAAGAGAGAGAAGAGAGAGUUUACCUUAGAGAGAGCAAAGGAGUUUGGGAGGAAUGAGCGAGGCAGCCUCGCUCUCGGCGUCCCCUUAUAUAGAUUAGGAUUCGUCGUAAAAUCGACGUAAAUUUACGACGAAUUUACCAGGCCCGCGUUUUUCCAUUUACGACGAAUUUACCAGGCCCGCGUUUUUCCAUUUACGACGAAUUUACCAGGCCCGCGUUUUUCCAUUUACGACGAAUUUACCAGGCCCGUGUUUUUCCGUUUACGACGAAUUUACCAGGCCCGUGUUUUUCGUGUUACGACGAAAUUACCAGGCCCGCGUUUUUCCAUUUACGACGAAAUUACGACGCUUAACCCUAAACACCGAGAAUGAAAUCCCUAAACCCCAAAGUGACAUAUCAUCUAACAUCAUAUCUUAUAUCAUACUACUUCUUACUCUUUCUUUUAGAAAAUGUUACAAUAGAGAAAUCCAACAUUUGAUACAUAUAUUACAUCACUCUAAAUCGUUUUCGUUCUCAUCACUAUCAUUACAAUCAUCAUCGUCGCUUCUCUCGAACUCGUCUUCACGUGCUUCAUCUGUCGCAUCUUCGGGAAUAUCUUCAUAUUGAAAGUUUUGCGGGUCGAUCAAAAGGAUUUCAUCAGUUGGUUGUUCUGGUACCUCAACUUCAGUGAUAGCGUCUUCUUCUUGCAAGGGCGGUUCUUCUCCAACGACAAUGCGUCCACGAGGUGUAACUUUGAUAGCAGUUACCCAGUUUAUCCCGGAAGUUCGAAGCCGAGGAUAAGGAAGGAAGCUAACUUGCUCGGCUUGUGAAGCUAAAAUGAAAGGCUCAAAUUUGUUGUAUCUUCUCCCAAAAUUGACAUCCACAACACCAAAUUUGUUAUACCGAAUCCCGCGGUUCACAACAGGAUCGAACCAUUCACAUUUGAAGAGCACGCAUUUUAGCUUCAAUAACCCCGGAAAUUCCACUUCAAUAAUCUCCUGCAAUAUCCCGUAAAAGUCUGUUUCACCUUUCACACAUAUUCCGUAGUUACUCGUUGCCCGAUGUCUCCCAUACUCGUAUGUGUGAAAGGUAAAUCCUCGUGUGAAAUACAUAGGUGAUGUGGUGACCUUUGCAACUGGACCUUGAACCAAUUCAUGAAACCAUACGGGAUAAUAAGGAUCGUCAUAAUCAACCUGCAAAAAACAUAUAUAUAUUCUUAAACACUUACUUAAUUAAUAUAAUAGUAUGAGAUAUAUUACCUGUGAUUUUAACCACUUGACAAAGUGUUUAUCUUUACGUGUAUCCACAUCAGUUGCAGAUAUUCCUGGUAUUGCUUCUUCAACUUGAGAUACAAACAUCCUGCAAAUUGAACAAAUAAUCAAAUCAUACAUAAUUAACUUCAAUUCAUAUAAUUAACAUUCACAAAAUAAUUUACCUUUCAAAGUAACGGGUCAUUGCAUCCUCGCAGUUGAGCAGAAUAUAAGUGUGGGCACUAUGUUUAUCUUCUUCACAUGACCACCAUACUUCUUUCGUUUUACCACCAAACCGUCCAAUUUCGCAGAAAAUGUCAGGAACACCAUCAAUUGGAUAUGAUGUCGGUACUCCACCAUCAUCAUAUCUUCUAGGAACUCUUUUUCUCGUACGAACAGUUGGAGCAAAGUAGUAUGAUGUGAAGUUAGAUGUUUCGGCUGUCAAACUCCCUGCAACUAUUGAACCUUCUACCUUUGCAAGAUUUCUUGCUUUCCCCUUCAAAUGUUUCAUCUGUCGCUCAUAUGGAUACAUCCAUCCGUUGUGAACAGGUCCACGAAGCAAUGCUUCAUACGGUAGGUGGACAACUAGAUGCUCCAUGACGUCAAAAAAUGAAGGAGGAAAUAUCUUCUCCAGGUUGCACAAUAUGAUCGGAAUGUUCUGAUGAAGUUGUUCGAUGACUUCUUCUUUGAACGUACGUGUGCUAAGAUCUCUGAAAAAUGCUCCGAUGGCUGUAUAUUUUAAAAGGAAUCAAAUUAAUAACAUUUCGUAACAUAUGUAUAUAUAUAAAUUUAUAAUUACCUGCAAGUGCUUCGUGGACAUUUGCUGGAAGGAGCUCGGCAAAAGCAAAUGGAAGCAGUCGUUGCAUAAACACAUGACAAUCAUGACUUUUCAUUCCGGAGAACUUUUGACCUCGUUCAAUACAUCUUGACAUAUUUGAAACAUAACCAUCAGGAAACUUAACUUCCGAUGCAACCCAGUCAAACAAGGUUGUUUUCGCUGUUGAUGACAACCGGAAGAUGGGAACAGGAACGUUUCCAUUGCUCUUGAUAUGUAACUCACUUCUUGAGCAAAUAUCAGGUAAGUCCAUCCUUGACUUUUUGUUAUCUUUUGUCUUCCCAGGGACGUUAAGUAAUGUAUUCAUGAUGUUCUCAAAAAAGUUCUUCUCGAUAUGCAUGACAUCCAGAUUGUGGCGUAAGAGAAGAUCCUUCCAAUACGGUAACUCCCAAAAUAUACUCUUCUUAUGCCAAUUGUGAGAUACACCAUACCCAUCAGGCAUAUUUCCAGGAACAUGCCAAUUUCCUCCAACCUUAACUGUUUCCUGAGCUCCGUAAUAAUCAAUGUCCGCUUCGAUCUGCUGGCCGGUGAGAUAUGGAGGAGGACUGUCUCUGACAAUUUUUUUGUGUCGAAACAAUGUCUUGUUUCUUCUGUACGGAUGGGCAAGUGGAAGAAACCGACGAUGACAAUCAAACCAACAACUCUUCCUACCAUUCUUCAGUUGAAAAGCAUCCGUGGAUCCAAGACAAUACGGACAAGAUAAUCUUCCAUGUGUUGUCCAGCCAGACAACAUCCCAUAAGCAGGGAAAUCACUUAUCGUCCACAUCAGAACUGCUCGCAUCGUAAAAUUGGUUUUCAAGGAACAAUCGUACGUCCUCACCCCUUCUGACCACAAUUGCUUUAGCUCUUCUAUCAACGGUUGAAGAAAAACAUCAAGAGACCGUUUUGGAUGCUUCGGCCCUGGGAUUAAUAUGGUCAAAAAUAGAAAUUCUUGUUCCAUGCACAUAUCCGGCGGUAAAUUAUACGGCGUAAGAAUGACUGGCCACAAAGAAUAUUGUCUACCAGACAUUCCAAAUGGACUAAAUCCAUCGGUGCAUAACCCAAGAUAGACAUUCCGAAUAUUUGUAGCAAAAUCUCCGUGUACCUUGUUGAAAUGUUUCCACGCUCUUGCGUCUGAUGGAUGUGCAACCUCACCAUCUCUCUGGACAUGUUCGGCAUGCCACCUCAUCGACGCAGCAGUCCUCUCAGAUUGAUAUAAUCUUUUCAAUCUGUCUGUAAUUGGUAGGUACCACAUCCUUUGGUACGGUACCCUAUUCCUCCCACGGCCUUGCGGUUUGAAUCGUGGUUUUUUGCAGAAUCGACACUCUUCUAACUUGUCAUCUUCCUUCCAGUAGAUCAUGCAGUUGUCGAUGCAAACAUCAAUCAUCUCCGAGGGUAACCCAAGACUAUAAACCAAUUUCUGAAUCUCAUAAUAAGAUUCAGCAGACACGUUGUCUUCUGGCAAAUACUCUUUAAACAACUCCGCCCAUGCAUCCAUGCAAUUCUCAGGUAAAUUAUGAUCCGUUUUAAUAUUCAUCAUCCUAGCUGCUAGAGACAAUUUAGAGAGACCUUCUCUACAACCAGUGUAGAUUGGUUGAUUUGCAGCAUCUAGCAUUUCAUAAAACCUUUUUGCAUCCAAAUUAGGUUCUUCUACAUUUCCAGUUCCAUCUGCUAUUGUUGUAGUUGUUUCUAAAAAUGCAUCACUAAUCAUAUCUUGAACCCUAUCAUGAUCUACCAUCUGCUCCUCUUGAUGAUAAUUAUAUUCAUUAUGCACAUGAUUCGGUUCUUCAUUAUGAUGAGCAUCCUCAAAAUUAGCAUUACUACUACUAGCUUCAUUUCCCCCAUAACCCUCUCCAUGUUGAUACCAAAUGUAAUACUGUGGUGUAAAUCCUCUGUUUACUAAAUGAUUCCAUACAGUUUCACUACGUGCAAAUUUCGAAUUUUUGCAUUUUGAACAGGGGCAGAACAUCUUACCGCUUUCCUGCGUGAUCGGUGUACAGCCCGCCUGGUGCAUGAAUGUCUCUAGCCCGUUCAGAAAUGCAUUCGUCACUCUCCCGUCGGAAUCUUUGUGCAAAUACAUCCAACUUCGUAACUCGUAAAUACUACCGCCACCGACCAUUUUUUCUACUAUUUUUUUUUAAAUUUUUUUUUUUCCGUUUGUGUGUUGUGAGGAAGAGAGUUGUGUGUUGUGAGGAAGAGAGUUGUGGGAAAUGACAUAUAUAUAGAGAAAUUUUCGAGUUGGGUAGUUGAAAUAUAACAACGAUUUUACAAGGGAGAGUUUACAUGGAUUUUACAUAGAUUUUUUACAACGACUUUACAACGAAACUCGAUAAGUUUUUCACCUAAAUAUAACGGUAACAUGAUUCGUUGUAAUAACGAUGUAAAAUUUCAAUUUCGACGUACUUACGUCGUAAUAUUACAUGGCGUUUACGACGAAAUUUGGUUUCGUUGGUUUCGUCGUAAUUGCGUUGUUACCCCACCAAUUACUAUUUCUAAAACAACGAUAAGGAACCUGUGUCGUUCGUCUGUCUGCCAAUUCAGUGGAACGACAAGGAGAAAGUGGACGGAAGUGCAGCUGGUUUGUACUUGAGAGGAACUUUUGACGAUGGUCGGAGGUUUCACUCAAGUAUAAACCAACUUCACUUCCCUCCAUUUUCUCCUUAUCGCUCUACUGAAUUGGCAGACAGACGAAUGACUCAUGUUCGUUAUCGUUAUCUUCGAAAUAGUAAUUGGUGGUUCGAGAAGAAGAGAGUUGUGUGUUGUGAGGAAGAGAGUUGUGUGUUGUGAGGAAGAGAGUUGUGGGAAAUGACAUAUAUAUAGAGAAAUAUGGUAAGUUUUACAUGGAUUUUACAUGGAAAAUUUACAACGCGUUUACAACGAACUUAGGUAAGUUAAAGCACUUUCAAUACACGUUUUCACCUUUAUGUAACGGUAACAUGAUUCGUUGUAAUGUCGAUGUAACGUUUACAACUAUUUUGCAUUCCACGUACUUUCGUCGUAAACUUACAUUAACUUUACGACGAAUACAUUUCGUCGUAAAUUACCAUCGAGUUUACGACGAAGUCAUGUCGCGUCGUAAUUGCGUUGUAAAGCUCAUGUAAAUUUACGAGGAAAUUAUUUCCUCGUAAAAUGCCGUUGUUACUGCUACGUUUUCUUGUAGUGUGUUAGCAUAUGACAUAUACAUUUGUCAAAGAUAGAAAUUUAAAUAAUUUAGCAUAUUUAACUUCUCAUAUCUGAUGAGUUUGUAUACCUAAAAUUUGAAUAGGUAAACAGGUAACUUGUGUAGAAGGAGCUUUAGUAUUGUAACGUAAAACCUGAAUCAAAGCUAAGCAAACGAAAGGCAAUGUGAAGUGAGAAACUUAGUGUCAUAACGGUCGAGAUAUUUACAGGUGCUGUUUUGUGUGUUUAAAUGAAGUGGAGAGGAAUUUUCCAUUUGUUUGUAGUAAAAACAGUUGGGACAUCUGUUUCUAAGGUCAUUAAGACGUAGUGGCGUCGGAAGGGUUUUACGGACCUGAGGCAAGUUUUAAAAAUAUAAAAAAUUAUAAUGAAAAUAAUUGUCUAUAUAUCACAUUCGCCAAAUACACAAAGUUAAUACUUACAAGAAUAAGUUUAUUAUGUAAAUAUACUAUAUUAUGUCAAAUAAGAAAAAAUACAUAGACUUAGAAAGUGAGUUAUUUGAUUCUCGUGAAACUUUAUUUUUUAGACAAUAAGUCUAAGUAACUAUACAAAAAAUUAUUUUAAAUUUUAAGAACUCUAAGAAAAAUAAUAUUAUUAAAGGACCUAAAACGAAUACAUUUUUCAAUAUACCGUAGGCAAGCAUUUAUUUACACGGCAGGUCCUUCGUCGCAUGAUGAGAAUCAUAUUGGUCUCGUAGAAUCUCUCCGAGCAGUACAGACUUCACGUAAAGACCGUUUUACUUCUUUUUUUAAAAAAAAGGGCUCUUAAGGCCGUUUUACUUUGCUCGAGUAGUUAUCUGACUUCUUAUGUCCAUUUGUCAAUUACCGCGAUCCAUGAACUUCUUCCCUUCUUUAAAUUCACCAUUGCAAAGCAAAAGUAUAGCGUAAAGGCAGUGGCUCCACCACGUUACGUACGAGGGGGGCAACUGCCCCCAGUGCUUUUUCAAAAUCCUAUGUAAAACAUAGAGUAAUUUCGGUUAUGCCCCUGUGUUUAUAGCAAAUUUUUCCCUAGUUCUAUAAGUAAUUUUAGUUAUGCCCCAACAAAAUAUAUCUCCACCCCUGCGUAAAGGCAAUUAUCUUUUCCACAAUUGUUUUUUUUUUUAACUGAAUCUUUUCCACAAUUGUUGGUGGCCGAUAGAAUGAUGUAGAUUUUUUCUAGGGGUUAGGUUGCGCUUGGCAAUGAAUUUAUCUUUAUACAAUAUUUUUAACACUUAUUUUUAUUAUGAAAGUUUGAUUAUGUAUAAUGUGUGAAUCAUUAUUUAUGUUUUUUAUAUUAUUUAUUUUAACUAUCUCUUUUGAUUGAAGUUGUUUUGUUUGAUGUUAUAAUAUUCUGUUCGAGUAACUAAUUUUUAAUAUGUUUGUUGAGAUGAUUUUAGUAGAGCUAUGUACUAUUUUAUUUUAGCCGUAUAGAUCUUUUGAUUUUUUAGAUCAUCCAGUUCUUUUAUGGUAAUAUUGGAAAUGGAUUCUCCUAUGGUUUUUAUAUAUAUUAAAAUUUUAUAUUUUUUGUUAUAUUAUCAAUGCUAUAUUAUGCUUUCCAUUAAUUUUUAUUAUACAUUUAUUUUAAAUUUCCUAACUAUAUUUUUCAAAUCUUUAUUAAUUAAUUUUAGGUUGUAAUUUCAAUCAAUUUUUAACAGUUCAAAGUUUGAGUUUAGUGACAAAAAGAAUAAUUUCUCAAGAUUCAUUUUUUCUUUGGCUUAAGUUUGUAAAAUCUGAAACAACAAUAUGGUAAAUAUUUUUUUUUCUUUCUCUGUGAUUUUUUAUAUUUUUUAUAUUAUUAAAUUAAAUUAUAUAUUUCAUUAAAUUAUUAUUUACUGAUUCAAUUAUAAAUUAUUUAUCUUUAUAACUGAGUUUUUUUAAUCUACCAUCUAUACUUUUUUUGGUUUUUACCUGUAUUUGUCUUUUUAUUUUUUUUUCUAAACUUUGGUGAACAGAAAAAUGAAAAUAAAAAUUUCAUGAAUUUCACGUUUUAUUUUAUUUUGUUAUCUAUGUUUGAUGAAACAUGAAAAAAGUAUUAUAAAUAUAGUUUUUCUUUCAUUUCUUUUUUAAAUAUUUUUUUUAUUUAUUAAGAAAUUCAUGUAUUUUUAAACUUUUCUUGCUCCAGCUUGAUAAAAAUGUGUGUUUU